rnacentral:lncRNA from 10 species
CCUUCGCCUCCUCAGUCGGCCGCUCAGGCUGCGGCUCCUCCCGGGGCCGGUUCCCGCUGUCUCAGCCGCGGCGCAGAGGGCACAUCGGCCUGACCGACUAGCCGGCUGCCAGUGCCGGGAGCCGCCGCGUCCAUCCCCGCCCGCCUGGCCGGGGACCCAGGACUGAGUCGUCCAGCUGCGCCCCUCGCCCAUAGCCCCAGCGGGCGCCGGGCGGGCGAGCAGCUCUUCGGCCCUUCCCGGACAGCGACGCAGUCGCAGCGCGCGCCCUAACACAGAUGUGGGAAGAUAAAUGAAGGGGUCUAGAUGUAAAUGUCAGUGGAAAGGAGAGCUACCAUCACUAAGGUGGAGUCUCGCUCUGUCGCCCAGGCUGGAGUGCAGUGGCGCAAUCUCGGCUCACUGCAAGCUCCGCCUUCUGGGUUCAUGCCAUUCUCCUGCCUCAGCCUACCCAGUAGCUUUGACUACAGGCGCCCGCCACCAUGCCCAGCUAAUUUUUUAUUUUUUAUUUUUUAGUAGAGACGGGGUUUCACCCUGUUAGCCAGGAUGGCUUCGAUCUCCUGACCUCGUGAUCUGCCCGCCUUGGCCUCCCAAAGUGCUGGGAUUACAGGGAUGAGCCACCACGCCCGGCCAAUAAAACUCAACUUUUAAAACUUCAGAAGGAAGGAAUUGAACAAAACUUGCCUUGUGAACUUUUUGGCUUAUAAUAAAUUAUGCUGGACUUCAA